UGUAAUCGCUAUACGUGAAAAGUUUCACGUAAAAUCUCGAUGAGUGAAAAAUGAAAAGUAAAAAAUGAAAAAUGAAAUGUGGAAAGUUUCACGUGAAAAUACAUGAUUGAUACUCUAAGUAGAGAUCCUAAAAGUAGAGAUCGGCCAAUGCCGACUCGAUCCAUGAUUGGCUCUGCCAUGAUGUUGUGAAACUGGAUAUGAAAAUGAGAGAAGCGUCAUCUGUUUACCAUUGUCGGAGACUAAAAAUAAUUUAACUCUCAGAAUCUUUUACAUUUUGAAAUGACAAGUUGCUGUGCGGAUUAUUGAUAUUACACAUUAUUGAUAUUACACAAAUUCUACAAAAAAAGGGAUUUCGUAUGUGCGGAAUUCCAAAAGGAAAGGAGGAAAGUUUGGCUAAAACAUAUUAAUCGUGAUGAUUUGAAAAUGGAAAAUUGAGAAAGAAUAUGCGUUUAUGUCAUAUAUGCGGGGAAACAUAUUCAGAUGGCAAAACACAAUGUUUGAAAGCAAAUGCUGUGCCUACAAACA